ACCCCGGUGGCGCAAUGGAUAGCGCGUCGGACUUCUAAUCCGGAGGUUGUGGGUUCGAGUCCCACCCGGGACA
rfam:Echinostoma caproni strain Egypt genome assembly, scaffold: ECPE_scaffold0007868